UUUGAAAUAAAACUGACUGAAGGAUUUGGAAAAACAUGCUUUAGCAAAUAAAACAUUUUACGCGCUCGACCCACUGAUGCUAGACAUUGCUCUGACCAUCCUAACUUAUCAUUUACAAUGACCCCUAGAUCUUUGGUUGAGGUUUUUACACUCAGGAGUGUGCCAUUUAUAUGGUAAAGGUACUUUGGGUUGUUGUGGCCACACUGAAGUACACAGCAUUUUGCAAUAUUUAGUGGUAUUUGCCACUUCUCGCUCCAUUGGAAGAUUAAAUUAAGUUGGUCUUGCAAGUCCGUGACAAGUGGGUUAGCAAAUAACUUAAUAUCAUCCGCAUAUGCUGAAUAGCUGUCCAGUGAAAACAAUAAAUCUGCUGUAUAUAACAAGAAUAAAAUUGGUCCAAGAACUGAUCCCUGUGGGACCCCACUUAAUACUGGUUUAGAGUACGAAAAUUUACCACAGACUUUUACACAAUAGUUUCGAUUUGAUAGAAACGCUCGGAUCCAAUCAAGCAAAUUUCCUGUUACACCAUAGGACUCCAGUUUUGCUAACAAGAGAUUGUGAGGGACUUUAUCAAAGGCUUUACUAAAAUCAAGGUAAAUUAUGUCUACAGGUUGGUUAGUGUCUAACAUUUUUGUCCAUAGAUUUGUGCAGGAUAGCAAAUUUGUGACAACUGACCUACCUGGUAAAAAGCCGUGCUGAUGCUCAGCAUGUCGACGUGAGACUUACAGGUCUAUAGUUAGCAGGAUCAAGUUUAUCUCCUGACUUGUACAAAGGCGUGAUUGUUGCUUGCAACCACUCGUAGGGCAAAGUGCCUUGUAAGAAUGAUUUUGUCAUAAUUUUGGCAAGUGGGCCCGACAACGAAGCAGCACAAGUUCUCAGGAGUUUGGGAGGUAUCUGAUCCGGACCUGGAGCUGUAUUUAAUUUAAUGGCACAGAGUUGGCUUUUUACCAGAUCCGGAGUAAAAUUAAUAUAAGACAACCCACUAAAUGUAGCAGCAAAACUGUCCGCUAAAGUGUUUGCAGUUUCUGUAUGAUCGGAGCAGAGUAGACCUGAAGCAUUUCGUACUAAAGGGACCGACACACGACUAGAGAUAAAUUUACGUACAUGGGAAUAAAAUAGUUUUGGUUUAUUUAAUAUAGAAUUUUCAUAAUUACACCUGGCUAUUUGUAAAUCAGAUUUUAGUUGGUUAGAAAAUCUUUUAUAAGCAGAAAAAUUAUCUUCAGUAGGCUUCCUUUUAAAUUUUUUCCAUAAUUUAGCUUUGUAUUUUAUUUUGUCAAGCAUGUGUUGAUUUAUCCACGGUUUAUCUUUUCUCAGUCGGUUUGUAAACAGUCUGGAAUUUGUUGUAAUGCAAGUUUGUAAAAUCGAUUUAAAAUGUUUCCAUUGUUCUUCCGCAUUUAGUGAAUCUAAACCAUUCCAGUCGUAAGUCAAGAGACUUUCGUCUAUGCGAGUGUAGUCAACAAUUGAUGUUGUUUUAAUUCUUGCAUUUGGCUCUGAAUAUAUCAUAAUUUGUAACUCAAUUUCGAUUUUUGAAUGAUCAGAUGUACCUACAGGAUUCGAAACGUUUAAAGACGAUACAAGGUUAACGUCAGACAAAAUUACCAAAUCAAGUAAUGAAGGACGUUGUUGGGAUCUAAAUCGUGUAGGUUCAGUGACUAUUUGUGACAAAUUAUUCUCCAAGAGCAAUUCAGAAAAUUGUUUUUCGAUGAUUGUUUGACCUGUUGUGUUUUUAGCAGACCAGUCUAUACAUGGAAAAUUGAAAUCUCCCAUGAUAAUUAAGUUAGGAUACUGAUUAAUAGUUGAUUGUAUGGUAUUAAAUAGAUUUUUAUCAUUUUCGUGAUUGUUAAAAGACGCUCCUGUUGGUGGUCUGUAAAUACAUGCUAUAACAAAGGUUUGUUCAUUUCCUUCAAAUUUUAACCAUAGAGAAUCAUAAGGUUUAACAGAUAUGCAAAUUUGAGUAAUUUUAAAAAAUUUUGAAAUUUUAAUUUUAUCUACAUAAAAACACACACCGCCACCUUUUUGAGAUAGGCGAUCAUCUCUGUAAAUAGAGUAAUUUUCAAUGUGUACAGCAUCAUCAGAGAUAGACGGAUUAAGCCAAGUCUCCGUGAGUGCGAUAAUAGAAGGUCUAAAUUCAGUUACUUCUAAUAACAAAUCAUUAAAUUUUGAAGAUAAAGAUGCGAUAUUCGUAUACAGAAGAGCCAUUGAACAAGGUAAUUUCCAGAGGAAACAACAACAACCACAUACACCCAGAUAUCAAAUUCAACAAUCAACACCAAGAAUCAACCACUGAAAAUGAAUCCCAAAGGCAAGAGCACGCAGAGACAC